rfam:Triticum aestivum genome assembly, contig: Triticum_aestivum_CS42_TGACv1_scaffold_499542_6BL
UUAUUACUCCCUCCGACCGAAAAUACUUGUCAUCAAAAUAGAUAAAAAGAUAUGUAUCUAGAACUAAAAUAUGUCUAGAUACAUCUCCUUUUAUCCAUUUUGAUGAUAAGUAUAUCCGGACGGAGGGAGAACAAA